GGGGGUGUAUUGGUUUUGACAGCAGAGGUCUUUGAAGGUGUAAGCAUGCCGGGCGUUGGGUAAUUAGCCCGUUAAUCUGAAUACUCAAAACACAAAUGGCAAUACUUCGUAUGCCAUGGCUGCCUAAUCAGUGAUUAGUUAGUCAUUUGGGCCGUCGCACGGGUUAGUCCCUGACCAAGUGCCACCGCCGACUUAAAAAGAAUAGGGAACGCUACUGCCAUAGGCUGUGCCGGUAGUCUAAGAACAUCCAGCUAAGGAGUGUGUUGGUUCGUCCUGGUCCUGCACAUCCCCGACAAAUAAUCCGGGAAUAAGCAUGUAGAAAGCUUUCGGAAAUCCUGUUUGGACACCAGUUCGAUCCUGGUCACCUCCACCU
rnacentral:tmRNA from 1 species